CCAGUGAGAACCCAUGCAUGCACGGGGAGAACUUUCAAACUCCAUGCAGAAAGACCCCCGGCUGGGAGUCAAACCCAGGACCUUCUUGCUGCAAGGCAACAGUGCUACCAACUGCAGCCCCUAAUCUCUCAUAGCACCUAGCUGUGCCACAUCGCUCACACUAGAUUGUACGUACAACUAAACAGCUUUUUCCCUUUUGUAAUGCAUAAUCUAUAUGGAACAUUUACUAUUUAAAGUUGUAGUGGAUCAGAGUCAUCAAAUGGAGGUUUGGUGCAUAUAUUCUAAUAAUUUUAAAUCUUCUGACUCGGAAAAAGGAGAAGAAAAGCCCAAAACCCCAUAAUAGUGUACUCUAAUGUAAUUUCCUCUGGAAACAUACUAUAAAUAACACCAUUUGUAAGCUUCUUCCUUAAUGAGAAAAUUUAUAUUGUUUAGUAUUACCAGUAAGUACCACUGAAAAUUAUCUAUCCAGUGUCUAUUCCAGUGUUUUUCUGGGUAACUAAAACAAAAUCGACAAAAAUGUUGAAACAAUUUAUUUCAAAUAAUAAUUUAAUAUUAACCCCUAAAUUCUUUACAAGGUUCAUUUACAAAAUUUAUAAACUUGUAUUUGAUUCAUAGCAUUAAACAGCACAAUAGAAAUUGAUAAAGAGCCCUUCAAAAGGCAAUAAAACAUUCAUGGAGUAAUUUUUAAUAUAAUGAACGUUUUCUCUUUAUUUUUUUCUGGGAGUUUUGGGGAAUUGUUAUUGACAUUUAGUAACCAUAAUUUAAUACCAGCUACUGAGAAGCAUAUACAAAUUUUCAAACAUUUCAGAUUUUUGUUACAUUUUUUAUGGUUUUCACAUAAAAGUCAAGCAAAAUUCACUAUAAGUUUUGAUAAAAGGUCUUUCUUAAAAUAAUGAAAAUC